UACGAAGGGGGCUAGCGUUGUUCGGAUUUACUGGGCGUAAAGCGCACGUAGGCGGAUCGUUAAGUCAGGGGUGAAAUCCCAGAGCUCAACUCUGGAACUGCCUUUGAUACUGGCGAUCUCGAGUCCGGAAGAGGUGAGUGGAACUCCUAGUGUAGAGGUGGAAUUCGUAGAUAUUAGGAAGAACACCAGUGGCGAAGGCGGCUCACUGGUCCGGAACUGACGCUGAGGUGCGAAAGCGUGGGGAGCAAACAGG
rnacentral:ncRNA from 2 species